UGCUGCGCCGUGUGAUUGCAGUGACGACGAUCAAACCAGCGAGACUUUUUGCGCUCAGUUAUAAAUUUAGAGUUUUCUGUCCGAAUCAGUCUACGAGCGACAACGUUUAAGGAAGGUCGCGCUGUUUCGCAUCCCCGCAGAAAUUUUUGCCGCUUAUUGCUUAUUAAUGUAAAUCCGGUGAAUUAUAUAUAUACUACUAUAUAUUACACAUAUAUAACCUCUCUCUUACCGCAUUCAAAAAAUAGAAAGAAGUAAAUAUUUACUAUUCUAACCAGGAGGAAAAACUAGCCACUGCAAAGAAGCAAGAAAAUCGGAAAAACGCUAAAAGUGUCUGCCGCCGAGGAAACACACUAAGUCGCGUUAAGUUGUGGAAAAGAAGAAAAUCCGGAAAAUCUUUGCUUCGGAAUUGUUCCGAGUAGGCAUCCGUCGUAGUGUCGAGUAGAAGAAGGUAAAAGUUAAAGAAAACCGUGACGAAGCCGAAAAAGUUCAGUGUGUUGUCUCCAACUAGCGGGAAAGAGGAAACAUAAUAAACGCUCCAUCUUUGCUCUGAAAACGCCGAAAAAAAAGAAAAGCGAUCACGAUUUUUGCGCAAAGUUCGCGAAGAAGCCGCUUAGUCGAUUCGAUUUAUUUGUUUCCCUCCCUCGAAAACCGAGUAAUCCGAGUACUUUCGUUCAGCUUCCGUUUAUCUUCUCGAGACAGCGUGUAGCUUUGCACGUAUCAAUACAAGUGGUACAUAUCUAGACGCAUAGACAAAUAGACUUGCCUUGAGUGGAAACAAUAGCUACACACAAGUAUAGAGUUCGCGAUCGCUUGCACUGGACACCUUCUACUGCUCGUGUGGUUAUCGUAACGUCUUCGUCUCCCGCUCUCGCUGUUUCCGUCUGCUUGACACACACGAGAACUUCGCCGACAAGUGGAAGGUCGAAGAGGUUGAAGACGGGCAAUAAAAGAUUCUAAUAAGCAAUUAACGGAAGACACAAACGACCGCUAGAAAACCAAAAUUGGACUCCUCCAGCAACCGUGAAGAAAUAAGCUCAAAUUCGCGGCAAAUAGUGGAUUCUCCUCUUAGUUUUCCCCUUCAGGGUAGUAAAACUCAGUUAGAGAAAAAGAAGUGUUAUUAACCAGUGAAGAAAUGAUUCGCGCUUUCGAUAGCGAGUGAAGAAAAAAAAAAUUCUCAUGAAAAUUCAUCAAAAGUAACGAAAGUUUGCCAGCGUCGUAAAAUUUCCGAAAGGCUCCAUCAGGCGUAGCGCAAAGCAGCGGACGAAAAAUCAUUCGUCUUUCUGCUUUGGCGGGUCUCGCGCUUCUGUAGCCAGCCAGCGAAAGAAUCAGUGUGUGAAAAAUUAUUCCAAUCAAUUUCCCGAGAAAAUCGUAAAUAUUUCAAAGAGGCAUCCGCGAACCGCGUAGAAAGUGUGACGAGCAGGUUGGGUACCGAAAAAGGAGAGAAGGGAGAUAAAAAAGCAAAAGCAAGUGUCCAACGAACGAGUCAACGAGCAUCAAGGAGCACACAGCACUCCGGAAACGUGGAAUCACCCGCGCUAUUGUCACCCCAGAUUGACCAGAUUCAACGGUUCGGUUGAAAAGGCUGAACAUUGUAGACAGUGCGUUUCUCCCACACACCCACGCAAGAAGCUUAACGUGCCCCGCCCCGUAGCAGCUUUCAAUCCAAGCUCCGCCAUCCAGCAAUCGAGAAGGCUCAUCUUAGCAGCGCUUUUGCCCCCACCAUCACCCAUCUGCUAGACGCCUCCCGCCGCUUGCAAUCCAAAAAAGUAAUCGCUCCUUGUAUUCACCACCACCUUGCCAGCAGAAGAACAUAGAAGCUAAGUUGUGCUUGUGCUUUUUGCAUCUUCUACAGCAGCAGCAGCUAGCAUUCAACAUCAGAAAAAAAAUCAGCUCAUCAAACCCAAGAAGCAGCCACAAAACUCGUAAGAGCAUCUGAUUUGCCACACAGAAGGAUCCAACGGUGCAGAAACGAGUAAUUACGAGUUACAAGAAAGCUGGCAAAACUCUUCCCAAGGACAAUCAAAGCUUUCGUCCGUAUUUGAGCGAGAUUUCUGCGCUAGAAGAAGCACCAGGAAGAAAUUUAUCCUCCUCUGACGCGCGAAAGAAGGCAGAAUAGUUGUCUAUCAGCCAGUCACUCCGCACUUACUCUUACUCAGCGUAGUCUUAGAGGAGAAGCAGAAAGAGAAGCCAAAAAACGUCCGUUCCUGAGUAACUUGCGAAGGAAUUAAUUUUUUAAUCUUAGCAAAAGUGGAGAAAAAGAGUUGGAUAGAGAGCGGUCGUAGAAGUACCUCUAGUCUUCGUUUUAAUUGCCAUAAGAAUUAGCUAGCGGAAAGCAAAAAAAAAAAAACAACCGAGAAAGAGAUAG
rnacentral:lncRNA from 1 species